rnacentral:rRNA from 1 species
GACGAACGCUGGCGGUGUGCUUAACACAUGCAAGUCGAACGCACUUUUAGUGAGUGGCGAACGGGUGAGUAACACGUGAGAAACCUGCCUCGAAGUUUGGGAUAAGCCCGGGAAACUGGGUCUAAUACCAAAUUCCUUGUUCAGAUCGAAUGGUCAGAUCAAGAAAGAUUUAUCGCUUUGAGAGGGUCUCGCGGACUAUCAGCUUGUUGGUAAGGUAACGGCUUACCAAGGCUAUGACGGUUAGCUAGUCUGAGAGGACGAUUAGCCACACUGGAACUGAGAUACGGUCCAGACUCCUACGGGAGGCAGCAGUCGGGAAUAUUGCACAAUGGACGAAAGUCUGAUGCAGCGACACCGCGUGAGGGAUUAAGGCCUUAGGGUCGUAAACCUCUUUCAGUAGGGAAGAAAAUGACGGUACCUACAGAAGAAGCUCCGGCCAACUACG